rnacentral:rRNA from 1 species
UGAGGGAAAGGUGAAAAGAACCCCGGAGAGGGGAGUGAAAUAGAUCUGAAACCAUACAUCUACAAGGAGUCGAAGCCCUGCGGGGCGACGGCGUGCCUAUUGAAGAAUGAGCCGGCGAGUGUAUCUUUGUCCUUUGUCUAAGUGGCAACCCCACGGAGGCACAGUGAAAGCGAGCGUGAAUAGCGCGAAUAUAGGGCAGGGAUACGACCCGAAGCGGGAUGAGCUUGCCAUGAGCAGGGUGAAGCGACUGUAAUAGGUCGUGGAGGCCCGAACCGGUUGGCCGUACAAAACCAUCGGAUGACUUGUGGUAAGGAGUGAAAAGCUUAUCGAAUUCCGUAAUAGCUGGUUCUCUCCGAAACAGCUUUAGGGUUGGCGUCGAGUGGUCCCACAGGGGGUAGAGCACUGGAAAGAAAGAAUAGGGAGAAAUCUCGUCUUUCUUAUCAAACUCCGAAUACCUGUUGGUUAUAGCUCGGCAGUUAGACUAUGGGGGCGAAGCUCCAUUGGUCAAAAGGGAAACAGCCCAGAUCGCCAGUUAAGGUCCCUAAAUAUAUGCUCAGUGCAUCUUGAGGAGGUGAGGAUUCCUCAACAGCCAGGAGGUUGGCUUAGAAGCAGCCAUCCUUUAAAGAAAGCGUAACAGCUCACUGGUCGAGAGUCCUUGCGCCGAAAAUGAUCGGGGCUCAAGCAUAUUACCGAAACUGCGGAUUGGCAUUUUCUUCGGAAGAUGUCAGUGGUAGGAGAGCGUUCGUAUCUGCGAUGAAUCCAAGGCGAGAGCCGCGGUGGAGCGAUGCGAAGUGAGAAUGCCGGCACAAGUAACCGCAAGGCAGGUGAGAACCCUGCCCGCCGAAAUACCAAGGUUUCCUUUGCUAUGAUGAUCAGCGAAGGGUUAGUCGGUCCUAAGGGAAUCCCGAACGGGGGACCCGAUGGAUAGCAGGUUAAUAUUCCUGCACACUGUUAUGUUCCUAUGGAGGGACGGAGCGUUGUACUCGAAGCUUCUUAUUGGAUUGGAGCUGGAGCUAUGAGCGUGUUACUUAGGCAAAUCCGGGUAACAAUAGCGCGAGUAGAGUCUGAACCUAAGCCUACGGGCGAGGGAAUGAGAGGAGCACGCUUCCGAGAAAAACUUCGUUUGGGUUAAGCAUAAUGGUUCCGUACCGCAAACCGACACAGGUGGUAGAGUCGAGAAGACUAAGGCGAACGAGUGAGAGGUCCUCAAGGAACUCGGCAAAAUAGCGGCCGUAACUUAGGGAUAAGGCCCGCCACUACAUCUUCGGGUGUAUGUGGCCGCAGCGAAAGAUUUCCUGCCGACUGUUUACCAAAAACACAGCUCCCUGCAAACACGAAAGUGGAAGUAUAGGGGGUGACGCCUGACCUAUGCCGGAAGGUUAAAUACGGAGGGUCCAAUGUAUUUAUAUGUUGGGCUGGAUUGUAUAAGCCCCGGUAAAUGUCAGCGAUAACUAUAAUCGUUCUAAGGUUCAGUGACCGAUCCAAUAAAUCGUGCACUGAAGGAUUGGAACGAUUGUAGGGUAAGCAGCCCAGCCAUAAGCUACCUUGCUUACAGAAAUGUAAGUAUGAUCCAAACCAAGCCAACAAGAGACCAAAUGCUUGGCAUCUGACCAUUAAGUUGAAGAUGAAGAUAGAGUCCUAUUGUGUACGAACUAGUAAGGGCUAGUUCAUAAAAGAAGGAAAAAUAGAGCGUAUUUCCUUGUCGGGUAAGUUCCGACGUGCACGAAUGGCGUAACGAGUGGGAAACUGUCUCGAGGACUUGCUCGGUGAAAAUACAAUCCCGGUAAAGAUGCCGGGUACCUGCAGUUAGACGAAAAGACCCCAGGAGCUUUACUGUAGCUUCGUAUUGGGGCUGUUGAAUUAAUGCGUAGUAUAGUGGGGAGACUUUGAAGCGGGCUUUCGGGUACCGUGGAGUCGUCAGUGAAAUACCCAUCUUUAUUUUGGCAGUCUCUAACCGGUGAGGAAAAACCUCAUCGAGACAGUGCGUGGCAGGCAGUUUUAGUGGGGCGCUACCCUCCCAAAUUGUAACGGAGGGGUCUCAAGGUUGGUUAGUCGCGAAUGGAAACCGUGACGAUAGUGUAAUGGCAUAAACCAGCUUGACUGUGAGCCGUAGAUGGCGAACAGAUACGAAAGUAGAGCAUAGUGAACCGAUGGUUGGCUUUAGAUGCCGCCGGAGAUUACCCGAUAAAAGUUACCCUGGGGAUAACAGGCUAGUUGUGCCCAAGCGUCCAUAGCGACGGCACAGUUCGGCACCUCGAUGUCGGCUCAUCUUAUCCUGGGGCUGGAGCAGGUCCCAAGGGUUUGGCUGUUCGCCAAUUA